rnacentral:rRNA from 1 species
AUUGAACGCUGGCGGCAGGCCUAACACAUGCAAGUCGAGCGGAGCGGCGGACGGGUGAGUAAUGCCUAGGAAUCUGCCUGGUAGUGGGGGAUAACGUCCGGAAACGGGCGCUAAUACCGCAUACUAUCAGAUGAGCCUAGGUCGGAUUAGCUAGUUGGUGGGUUAAAGGCCUACCAAGGCGACGAUCCGUAACUGGUCUGAGAGGAUGAUCAGUCACACGGGAACGUGGACACGGAGCAGACUCUGACGGGAGGCAGCAGUGGGGAAUAUUGGGCAAGUGGCGAAAGCCUUGUCCAGUCAUGCCGCGUGUGUGAAGAAGGUCUUCGGAUUGUAAAGCACUUGAAGUUGGGAGGCGUUACCAACAGAAUAAGCACCGGCUAACUUCGUGCCAGCAGCCGCGGUAAUUC